UUUACAUUGAUUUAAUGCUGCUAAAUUCUACCUAAAGUCCUAGUGUAGACCAGGGCUUAGUAACUGCUAGUUUAUAUUCCCCUUAUUCUGUAAUCCAGUGGAUCAGAGAGAAGUUUAUUUUCCUCCCCACGUUUUAACAAAUCUGUGAGAAAGUUAUAUUAAGCUUUCAUUUUCUUAGGACUUUUAGAUUUAAUUUUUCUGUUGCAUUAUCAGAAUGUCUUUGUUUUUAAAUGUUUGCAACCCGUGUGCUGAGACACAGAUGCAAGCUCCUGUCUUUGUUUUGGGUCCAUAGAUUUUAUUAAAAUAAUACAGCACUGCCUGGAGCUGUGGCUUUCUCUACAUUUUAAAAACAGAUAAGACUAAUCAGGCUAGCCAGUGAUCCAUCCGCUAUAGUCUGCCUUAGCAAUGCUCUAGGGUCACCCCUUCAGUUUGCUUGGUUUUUCACACAGACUUCUUUCCUAACUUUUGAAACACUGUUAAAGUUUUAAGAAAUGGUGAGAUUGCAUUGAAAGACACUUUGUGAAAGUUAUAACAAGUAUUUUAUUCUGUUUACUGAUUGUAAAAGAUAAAAACCAUAGUUUUGUGGCUGCAUGAAGCUCACAAAUAGCCUAUCUGAAGAACACCCCACCCCCUCGGCUUUUCCCCCUUUAUCUGUCGGUGUGAUGAUUUCAUCUAAAAUGCUAUUUGAGUCCUCAGCCCCUAUCACUUGCUAACCAUGCAGUGUUUCAUUAUAUAAAGGUUUUUUAACAUUUAACAUGAACAUACAGCGUUGACUGAGAUGUAACAUAAUAUGACCUUUUUAAAGGAUAUUCUGUAUGCAGUGAGGCCUAUUCGAAGCAUUAUGGUUUUUUUGCUUUUUUUUUUUUAAAGUUUAACAUGAAAAAGCAGUAUUUACCGAGCUGUAACAAAACAAGGCCACUCUUAGGGAUAUUUUGUAGAAGUUUAGUGAACUAAAAAGACUUAAGAUACUAGCCUAUAGUGUUUUUAGUAUAGCCUAACGCUAGCCUGUAGCUCACGAAAGCUUAUGCUCAAAUAAAUUGGUUAGUCUCUAAGGUGGCACAAGUCCUCCUUUUCUUUUUGCGAACACAGACUAACACGGCUGCUCCUCUGAAACUAGCCUAUAGUGUUUUUAAAGUACCAAACCAGCAAUUGGAUAGUACAGGCCUAUAGAAUAAGCAUUCCCCUCGGUUUCGGCAGUCCGUUGAGCAUCUGGUUUUGGGUCUGGGCAAAAACAGAUCGGGCCCAAUCCGCUCGGCCCUUUGGAGCUGUUGGGGUCCAGAACCUCCAAGUCCUCAGAAGAACCAUCGUUCAGCUGCUGAAAAUUUACAGUAUGAAAUAUGUGUAAGACAUUUUUGUCCUUUUUAAUAACAUGCUUUUAAAACCUUUUACACCGUGUAUCAAGAGACCCCUUCCACAUGCAGCUUUUAAAAACAACAAACAACAACAAAUGCAAUAUGUCUCUGUGCAGGCUUGAUCGAAAAGGCUCCAGCCAACCGAGCCCCGGUGACCGGGUCCCUGCUGAACCAUCCCUUGAACGUUCUUACAUACAACGUACCCGUGCUUCAUCUCCGUACAGCCCUUUGUUUGAUUCAUUUGGGUUCUCCUGGCUGGGGUCUGGAGUCUCAAACAAAUCUUGGCCCAGCGAUCUGGCCUCGUGUUUCUCCAUCGCAUCGUUCUUGCGGGUACAGGUAUCAUUAGCGAUCCCUGUUUCCCCGCUCCCAUGACCCGUCUCAAACACUCUUCAGGGCCCAUAGUAGCAACCGUAUAACAACUCUUCAUGAGAGGCUUGACUGCCGGUGUUAGCCAGGGCCUUCUAGGUGCAGCCAUCUUUAAUCAUCAGAUCCGUUUAAAUAGAAGCUCCUCUUUAUCUUAUCUUAUCUCUGAUCCACUGGUUCAAAAAGGCUGUUUUCGCUUACAGGGGCUUUGCUGCAAAAGCACGCUUCAAAUUGUCCUGACUAAAAAUGACUAAUGUUAGUCUAAAACAUAGGGGAAAACUGUUUUAUCACUAUAAAUUACUUCCAUAAACAGGAUGAUUUGAUUGGGGAUUGGUCCUGCUUUGAGCAGGGGGUUGGACUAGAUGACCUCCUGAGGUCCCUUCCAACCCUGAUAUUCUAUGAUUCUAUGAUUCUCUGUGUUUGUAACCCUGGGAUGUUUCUGCGUUCUCACUUUUUAUUGAAAUGCAUAUGCAAAAGUGCUAAAUGAAGGAAUGUGUAUUCAGAUAGGCUUGUCUUUUAAAGUGUUUAUUCCUUUACAAAACUUAAUAUAACUUUCACUGGUAUUUGUUAAAAAGCAGGGAAAGAAACAAACUUCUUCUCUCUGAUCCACUGGUUUACAGAAUAAGGAAAAUAUAAACUGGCUGUUACUAAGGACCUGUGGUUUUAAACCUGAGGUGUUUCUGCAUGCUCUAUUUUAUUGAAACACACCUGUAAAAAAUGUUAAAUAAAGGGAUGUGUCUUCAGAUAGGUUUGUCUUUUAAAGUGUUUAUUCCUUUCCAAAACUUAAUAGAACUUUCACUUGUAUUUGUUAAAAAGUCCCAGGACCUCAGAAAGCACCUUAAUUUCCAAGCUAGACUAUUUCGCAACCACCUGGUGAUGCAGAGCCCUCUGCACUGGAGGCGGCCAUGUGGGACUGGCGUUGCCGGGGGAGCCCCCAGGAGGAAUCCUGGAUGACUCAGCCAGAAUUUCUUCUAGUGGCUUCCAGGGUGCAUGUGGCCAAGGACUAGCUCCACCAGCCUCCGGCAGGGUCCGGUGUGCUCUCAGCUCACUUCCAGCUACCGCCCAUGGACGUGCUAGCAAGGAGCAAGGACUGCAUUCCCGGAUGAGAUUCUGGUCAGGCCCUGCUUCUGGAGCAGACGCUGGGGGAAGAACAUUGUGCCCUCCACCUGUCACACCCUUGCAGGGCUGGCCGUGGUGUGGCCCUAAGCAAAUAGUCAUGCAGCCAGCAGCAUGGUGAGAGAGAAGACAUGGUAGUGUGGAGAUGGACCUUAGCCAGACCUGCCAUCCUGAAUCCCCCAGGCUGUGGGGAACUUCGUACCCAGACCCAAACUCUGCAGCUCUGGCUCUUCUCUGAUAGAUGGAUCGGAACCAGGGCUCUGGGGCCGCACUCCCUCUAGCUUUGAGGAAGGCAGGUCCAGAGUCUGUGGAACUCAGGCCCCAAGCCCCAGCACUCCCCCUUGUCUAACGCCCUGAAGCCUGGAGCCCUGACCCCCUCCACCCUGCAGCUGCAGCCCCAGUGCCCCUGUGGCUGAAGCCAGUACAGUACUGGCUUUUUUUGUUGUUGUUGCCUGAUUGAGGACUUCCAUUUUCACAGGGUGUCCGGUUGACCGGUCAGUCCGUAACUGGUGUUUGUAUCUUUGAGGUUCUACUGUAUUUAAAUGAUCGUUUAUAUUUCUUUCCAUUUCAUUUUUUACAGCAAACCCGAAGGUCAGCGGUAAGCGGCGGGGUGCGGAAGGUGCUGUGCCUAGGGGCGCGGAAGGUGUAAAUCCAGCCCUGACCUGGCCUCUGCUGGAGCAGCUUUCGCCACAAUGCUAGAAACACCAGCCUUGAGCCCUGCCCAGCCCAUGGGAAAGUUUCCUCUGAUUGGCUGCCUACCACACUGCCCGGCCUGCUGGGAAAGAGCAGCCAAUCAGAGCUGCAGCACAGGCCAGAUGAGCUCUCUCCUCCCCCCAACCCACAGGAGUCAAGGUGUUUGGGGAGGGGGAGCAGAGGGACACCUGGGGGAAGAGGCAGAGGUUGGGCUGCAGGGGGAAGAAUUGAUGUGGGGUUGGGGCACAUGGCAGAGCUGGGGUGAUGCACAAAAUCACCUGCUGCAGAACUGAGGGGGCACAGAACUGAUGGAGGGUGGCAGGGGACAGAUAAUUAAUCAACUGGGAUGCUUGGAUUUAGGGAGAAGCUGAGAGCUCUCUGAACCAACUGGCAGGACACAAGGGUGGAGUUUAUUCUCUCUCUCUUUAUUGUUAAUCCUUCACACGGCACGGAACCGUCAGAAAGGAUCGA